UUUUAUUUUUUUCACAUAAAAUACAGUCAAAUAUUUAAAUUUCAGUGUAAUUAAAAAGUUUGUAAUUUGAAUUUGUUAAUGCAUGAAUUUAAAAAAUAAAUUGUUGAUGUGAUCAAAGUCAUUAGUUACUUCAGAGAAGUGUUUGAAAAUGUGCCGUAAUGAUACAGUUUGUAUUUUUCACAGAUAAGCUAUUUUUUUACAGCACUUACUUUUUAAUGACAGAAGAAAAAUUAAUAUAAGAAGAAAAAUAUUAUAAUAUUAUUAUUAAAUAUUAUUCAAAUAUAUAUUUGUGUUUUGAUCUGUAUCGAAAUACUUGAACAUCUUUGAAAUUGUACUUUUGAACAAAAAAAAAAGUAUUUUUUUUUUUCAUUAAAAAGAAACCGUUCUACGCAACAUUUUUCGCAGUGAGAUUAACAAGCAACUGAUAGUUGACACAAUGAGAAUUACCAAAUUCGAAAAUUUUAUUUUGUUCAGAAUUGUAUCAUGUUUGCACAAUUUUAUCCUGCAUUGUUGUUGCAUUUGUUUGUUGCAGUUGCUGCAAUUGUUUUUAUUUUGCAUUUGUUCUUCGGGCUCAGCAAUGUAAUAGAUGUUUUACAUUCUAAUUUUGUUUUUUCUUUUGGCAUAUUUUUCUCUUUUAUUUACACAUAGAAAAUUUUUAUUUAAAACAAUAAUUUGAAAAAUACAAGGCACUAAACACUUGAAUUUAAAAAAAAUGUACAGUUUGCAUUUUUAGAGGCAAAUUCCUUCCUCUCUGAGUUUUCCUCCUGUUGUUUUCCUGAGUUUGUACUAGCGUAUGUUUGUAAAAUGACUGUGCACCGAACUUUAUCCCUCUAACGAUCGUCGAGGCCACGAAUAUGUAUCCCCCGCUCAUUAAGGCGUGUCUUUGCGCGGCGCCGAGUUCACGUGAAAACACGGCGGAUUACAGCUAAUUGGUUUUUAAGCUUCACAAAAUGACCGCGAGCACUCGUUACGAUUUCCACCGGACAAUCGCGGAUAAGAUGGUUUGCGGCAUGUCCCCACAAUACGGCGACCGCAUUGUGUUAUAAUGCUCGAGCGUAUGAAAAUUGCAGCGAUAUUUUUCUUCAAAGCAUCUCGUAGGAAAAUUGCAGUACUUAGGAGCUAUUUACGUAAAAUUAUACAAAUAUUUCCGUUACAAAAACGUGCAUCUCAGUUAUCGAAAUGUGAGUGCGGCUUGUCUUUUUCCCGAUGAACACAUUUGAUCUUUUUUUUUUCUACGCGCUUAUAUCUCUCUUCCAAGCUUUCUUUGAUUACUGGCUUGCAUAACAAAAAAAUUUUCUCCACAUAUGAGAGUGCAAAAAAUUUUGUUUGUAACCCGUACCAUAAUCAAGGAUUUGUAAAUUAUGUUACCGUUAACAGCCAACCAUGAUUGUAGAAUUCUGUGCGGCAGAUUUUUAUAUGGAGAAAGAGAGAUGAAUACCAAGGGGUUUUUUUAUUUAUUAUGUAUGUUUUUAUCGUUCUUUUAAUUUGCCACGUAGAUCUCGAUGCUACUAAAAACCCUAUUUCCUGCCUCGAUACUCCGCCGAUCGAUCCGCACCCUUAAUUUAAUCCGAUUGUUACGCGCGCGCGCAGGAAAGAGCCGAUCAGACGAUAAUUGGUAUUACUCGAAGAAUUCCAAUCCCGAGUUUCGUAAUGGCGUUCGCGAAUUAAUCGAUUUACGGGACGAGUCGUAAGAAGGAUUAAACUGGGCCCGAGCUUAAAACAGAUCAUUGCGCAAAUCGCCGAUCGGAGCGUCGUCGUACCGAAGUAGUUGCCGAAACAUUUCGGUCAUCGAAAUGUCGUCGUUGUACAGCGUCCGUCGUGAGAGAACUCCCUUUAUUCGCCAUUCGACGUCUCCACGCGCGAUUUAUUGAUCCACGCACAAUUCCACCACGGCCAACUCUAGCUUCCGUCCGUCUGUCCGGUCCAAUCUCCCGUCAGCAGCAUGUUACGUAACCCUGAAGCGAGGCCAACAACGGUAGGCUCUCAGAGGCCACGAUUUACAAAGACGAUUGCAUUUUAUGAGAUAAAACGGAUUUGCAUACACGUGUUUGUGUUCUCGAGCAAAAUAUCUUGAAAAGUACUAGAAAGACAAAUGUAAUAUAAUACAGAUUAUAUAAAAUACGAGAUGCCAGGCAUUAUUUGAAAAAUCGCGAAAUAUACGCAAAUUAUGUUCGUAGAUUAUAUUCGCGUCGUUGCUACCUCAGGAUUUAUAUAGUAUAAAUUGUAAACGAGAUAAUCGGGAUAAUGAACUCCUGAUAAUUAUUCGGGUUCGAAUUAUUCCCGAUCUGCAUCUCGAUAUCCCGAAUAAUAUGCAAUUACUGCGCGUGUAAUCUGAUUAUUACUAUUCCCCAGAUUUACAUGCAAUAUAAAACAUAUAUAUGCAAUAUAAUAAAUAACGCGAGGCGCGUGCGCGCGUAAUUCACGUAAUCCAUAGAUUAUGUCGCCGAUAAAAUCGAUCUCACCCGGAUCCGUCGGGAGGUCGCUGAAGCCCAUGUUAACAGAUAAUAAAAUAUCGCGCGUUCACCGGACUCGCGUAUGAUUUCCGUUUCGUUUCGUAAUCGGAGGCCUCCGACGACGGCAGAGCGGCGUCGAUAAUAACUGCGGAGUGCUCGCGCGUACAAGUAGUCUGUAAAAAGAUUCGCCGCGCUUAAUGACGUCGUAGUAACUCGCAAUUUAUUCAAAUCUAUGCUAACCGACAUUACGGCCCGUGCGCGCGCUCUUCAUUCAAAUUGCCGGUAAAUCAUAUCAGCGGCAAUUUACAUGCCAGGGAUCCUUAAUUCGCCGUCUUUAUUACCGGUCGACGCGGCGACGCAGCCUUUGUCAUGUCGCAAUAUCAUCCCUCCGGUUUUCCGGCGUGUCUCCAUGCAUCUGUAAUCUAAAAAUUUUUUGUCUCAUCGAGACAGAGCGAGUGACUGAUGACGGCAAAAUCUGCUGCUGUAAGCUCGAACUGAUUUUCGUUCGAGCUCGGUGCAUCUUGUCAAAUUUAAAAACCCUUCUCCUGCACUUUAUCCGCUUGCAUUUUUUUUUUUUUUUAACAAAUCUCAUCUUUAUGCGAUUAUUGUCAGAACCGUAAAAAGUUAGUUUACUUCCUUCUCCGCGUUAAUGCAACAAUAAUAACAAUAAAGCAAAAAAAAACGGACCUUCCAUCUAACGUGAUAUCUUUUGCUAUUUUCUUUUAAUUCGCGCAUUCUAUUAUUACUCCUUAUAUACAGUUUUUCUACAACUUUCUCUCUUCUGUCUUUUUUAUUUUUCAGUUUACCUUGAUUAAUUAUGGUUUCUCUUUUUCAGUCGUGCUCUCCACGGCUCGCCGGCUGUGAUAACACACUUCCGUGUGUAUCAAGAGAGAAUGGCGCCAUCACGUCGGAGGUCCAUAAACACGCUUUCGAUGGAUGGUAUGGGAAAGCGAGACGAAGGAGUGUUGUUCUUGCUUAGGGUUCUUGGCAGAACACUGAUUUGUCAGCGGCGCUACAUUAGCCUUCUCGUCGAGAAGGGGCCAAUAAACCACCCGCCGGCUCGCAGUCGGAAAAACGAAGACUUGAGUAGGAAAACAGUCGACUUAUUGGACGAUUCCGCCCGCAGCGAGUGCGCAUCGUCGGGAAAGUUUCGCAAAACGUGUUACGGUUAUUCAGUAUAUAACGAAGCCCAUAGGAAAGAAUAAUCUCCCGCACUUUGUUACUUAGACUUAACUUGUCGCAACACGCAAUCGAAGUGACUGUAUAGUUCCAAUAUGUUGUCAAAGCAUAGAGAUUAAAGGCCUUAGCAGAACAGCUGAUUUAUAUAUUUUACAAUGUUUCAUGCUUUAAAUUUUUGUAAUAUAUAAUAACUAUUCUCUGUCUAAAUCAGCCAUUCUGUUAAGGUCCUGAGACUAAUACUUUGAACUCACUCCGGAUUUUAUUAAUAAAAGUUGAGGCUGGGUCUAUGAAUCGCUGUUAAAAUUGUUUCAAUUAAAAAGUAAUAAACAACGAAGUUUUGUGUGUACGCAAGAGAUCAAAUUCGAAUAUAUGCGACUGUUUUUACUUAGGUAUCUCAUAUUACUGAUUUUAUAUUAUUUAUUGCGCCGGUUUGAACUUGUACUUUUUUUAUUUUUAUUUUUGUCUUUAAUUGUUUUAUUAUCAAAUUAUAUAUUAAUUUUAUUAGCAUCGGUGGCCUCUUGGCGCAUCCUGGUCGAUUUUCGCAAAUAAUGUAACUACGAGGGAUCUCCGUAUUUCGUACACGGUGUCGGUCCGCCGACGUUAUUGCCCGCAUUUGUUACCAUUGCGGGCGCGUGUAAUGGCCCGGAGGAUUAGCAAUUUGUCAAUUAGUGCCCAGUUAAUUUAUUUAUCGCCAUGUAUUCGCGGAGCGACGACUCUUUCAGCCUCGAACUUACGUCCCGCGGCAUUCGCAAGCGGCAACCGCGGCGAGCAUGCGGCUUCCUUAACGCCUCCCUUAAUUUAGAUAUAGGAUAGUAAUAAGAGCAUCAUACACGCCACCGACGAAUAAUCGCGGUUACACCGGAAAAACAAAACCAUAUCCUUUUAUAUAUAGCACAUUUAAUUUCCGAUAAAAUUGAUAGCUUGUGGCACUCUUUCCAUAUCAAACUAUUGCUAUAAUAAUUUUUUUUUAAUUGAUUUUUAAAAAAGAUACAUAAUGAUUUAUACAUCAUACUAAACCUUCAUAUAUCUUACUUUAGUUAGGAAAAAGUUUAAAUACUUAUGACGAGCCUCUAUUUCGAACUUAAGAGUAAAUUCUUUUUUACCGCUGCAUUUAUUUAUUCUGUUUAAAUCAGUUUCUUGGUAUUUCUUUUUUUCUAAAAAAAGGAUUGAAAAAAUUAUCUUUGGGGGAGAAUUCACGCUCGAAUGGAGCGAAAGAAAGCGAUAUGUAGUAUUUGAUCAAAAGCCGGAUUAGCUUGUCGCUCAUGGUGACAGCUCCGGGACCAUAAUGAUAUUUAUGCUAAAACUGGUGAUGAUGGAGUUAGCAGCGACGGGAACCGAUUUCGCCAUAAACACGACUCGACACUCAGUGGCCACUCCGGGGUAUCGUCGAACCCCCACCGUGGAAUAAUAUACAUGUCUGCCGCGGUUGCAGCAUCACGGUUCACACGCUUAGUAAAUAUAGCCGAGCCGGCUAAAAAUGGUUAUCGGUGAAAGCGAACACCGUAAACGUAUUUAUUGCCCUUAAUAGAAAAGGCUCGAUGUGUUGCCCUUCACCUCAUAUUUUAAUAGAAAAAAAAAGAAGCAAAUAAUACUUGAUGAUAAAUACUUUGUAAUGUUUGAAAUUAUAUGUAUAAAUUAAUAAGGCU